rnacentral:rRNA from 1 species
CGAUCGGUAGCUGGUCUGAGAGGAUGAUCAGCCACACUGGGACUGAGAACGGCCCAGCUCCUACGGGAGGCAGCAGUGGGGAAUUUUCCGCAAUGGGCGCAAGCCUGACGGAGCAACGCCGCGUGUGGGAAGAAGGCUCUUGGGCUGUCAACCACUUUUCUCAGGGAAGAAGAUCUGACGGUACCUGAGGAAUCAGCCUCGGCUAACUCCGUGCCAGCAGCCGCGGUAAUACGGAGGAGGCAAGCGUUAUCCGGAAUUAUUGGGCGUAAAGCGUCCGCAGGUGGUGUUUCAAGUCUGCUGUCAAAGACCGAAGCUUAACUUCGGGUAGGCGGUGGAAACUGACUCACUAGAGUACGGUAGGGGUAGAGGGAAUUUCCAGUGUAGCGGUGAAAUGCGUAGAGAUUGGAAAGAACACCAGUGGCGAAGGCGCUCUACUGGACCGUAACUGACACUCAGGGACGAAAGCUAGGGUAGCGAAAGGGAUUAGAUACCCCUGUAGUCCUAGCCGUAAACGAUGGAU